rnacentral:lncRNA from 1 species
AACAUAAACAUGAAACGUUGCAAAUAAUUAUUUCAAUCAUAAAAGAAACUCACCCGAGAAAGAAAUUUCGAUUAUCCUUUGAAGUUCGAAUGUGGUACAAACAGUAGAAAUUUAAGCAACAAGAUUGAAAGUAAAAUCAACUACUGAAAUCUGAGCCUUAACAACAAGUGCAACGGAUUCGAAUCAACCCCGAAUUUCGAACUCAAUCCAUUUCCAUAACAAAAGUGAAAUUUCCGAACUAAAAGAGGAAGAAAAUAGAGAUGUGAACAUCAAACUAAAAAGAAACAAACACUUUUGUAUUUUUUUUUUGAAUUUUCUGUUCUAGAUUUAAAAAUGAAGAAGAAUAUUUUAGAACCCUAGUUUUCCUCUUCUCAAUUUUCUCCUGAAAUUCCUCUCUGAAAAAUCUCCUCCUCUUGAAAUAUCAUCUCUCUUAUAUAGGACCUCAAGUAAUCUUGAAACUUCUCCACUCUUCUCGAAGAAAUCUCCAAACUAAAAUCUCCCCCCGAAUCAAAUUUUUUACCCCUCUUUUGAUUAAAAAACGGAUAAAUGGAGGGAGUAGAUCAAAUCGAAUCCAAUCCAACAUUCCCCAUUUUUCUCAUUUCCAUCCGAAGGGUUAAUAAUCCGAAAUAAAUCAAAGGGAAGGCAUGUGAGGGAGGGCAAAUUUGUCAGAAACGGUUAGAAUCUUGGUGAUUUGGUAAAGAUAGGGCCUGUGUGGGUGAACUUGUCUGAGCUUUCAGGCGAGUUAGGGUCGGAUCAACUUGAUGGAGAAGAUGAAUAGUGCUUUGUGCUGUUUUGAGUCUCUUGGGAUUUAGGAUUUUC